CGCCGCGUGAAGGAUGAAGCUUUCGGGCGUAACUCUUUAUCGAGGAAGAAGAAUGUGACGGUACUCGAUGAAUAAGCCCCGGCUAACUACCGUGC
rnacentral:rRNA from 1 species